ACUGUUGCCCUGGCCAACAACUUAACUGCAACCUCAAGAGAUACCUACCCUGAGUCAGAACCACCCAGUCAAACUACCCCUGGCAUCUUAACUCAGAGUAACUGCCCCGUUGACUGGAGGAUGGCCAUUUGACAACACAUUAUUUCCUGAGGAAACUUUUGACUUCUGGUGACUUGGGCCCCAGGCUGGCUGAAUUUGCCAAGACCCGGCUUUGCCCUUGCAUGUGUGAAAAAUGGCCUCAAGUAUGACCCCAUGGCAAGAUGGAAAGAAACUGUGCUCUUGAAUAGCUUAGAGAUUCAGAGCCCCCCAACCAGCUUGAAACGCCCACCUCAAAACAAUGACAUGAGAAGAAACAAACCUCUAAUUUAAGCCACUGUCUUUUUAAGAG
rnacentral:lncRNA from 10 species